ensembl:lncRNA
GCCCUCUACAAGAGCAGCAUGUCAACCACCCCCCUUCCCUCCUCUCUCUCUCUCACACACACUCCCUUGCUCAAGAAGGGGCCAUCUAUCUCUACUCUGGACAGAGGCAGCAGGAGCCAAUGAAAAUAAAGUUAGUUUGUGCUGCAGUCACCACAUUGCCAGAGCUGCAGCAAACCCACACAGCCAUCUGGGAACCUCUCUGGUGUUCAGCUGCACGCCUGCCGGUCCAACCCCAAUGCUCCCCUCGCUCCCUCGCCGCUGCGCCACUGCCAGGGCACCAAUCGUUAACAAUCCCCCUUUCCUCUCCUCUCUCCUCUGUCUCUCCCUCGCUUCCUCCCUCCCCCUCCCUCCGGUCUCUCCCCUGACCUUUCCCAGGCAGUGUGUUUCUCCGCUCCAAGCGGGUGGUUCUGUCCAGUCAGCCAGCCAGGCUAUAGGACAGCUGCUCUUGCUGCUGCUGUUGACAUUGUUCUCAGAAUCUCUGUCUGUACUGUAAACACAGCAACAUAGAUCUGUAGAGUAACUAGUGCAGUGCCUAGAGGUGCUCUGUGUGAGGCUGUCUGUUUACCUCCGUGUUCUCCUCUCCAUCAAUAGCACAUCGACAAGACCGAGAGGCCGGACACACAUGUAGAGGGACGGACGCAAGCUUUUUUUUCUUCCUGACGACGUCCUUCGACGCCAGGAAACCCAAUCGGGCUGGAGAGAUCUCUGCUGAAACACUGGGAGUCUGGGUGGCACCUUUGACAGCACGUGAAAAGAAGAGGCCUCUUUCCUCUGUCUGAGUGAGACGACAGAGAGGGUGAGAGGGUGAGUCUUGUCAAUCUCAUACCUUGUGAAGUUUAAGCCCUCUUCUGUUUUUCAUCUUGACUUGGUCGGUGGGCCCAAUCGCCUGUGAGAUCUCUCUGGCAGGCCUUUUCAUUAUCCGGUCCAAGAAAGCCC